rnacentral:rRNA from 1 species
AUUGAACGCUGGCGGCAUGCUUUACACAUGCAAGUCGAACGGUAACAGGCCUUCGGGUGCUGACGAGUGGCGAACGGGUGAGUAAUGCAUCGGAACGUACCCAGAGGUGGGGGAUAACGCAGCGAAAGCUGUGCUAAUACCGCAUGUGAUCUGAGGAUGAAAGCGGGGGACCGAGCAGCAAUGUUUGGCCUCGCGCCUUUGGAGCGGCCGAUGUCGGAUUAGCUAGUUGGUGGGGUAAAGGCCUACCAAGGCGACGAUCCGUAGCUGGUCUGAGAGGACGACCAGCCACACUGGGACUGAGACACGGCCCAGACUCCUACGGGAGGCGGCAGUGGGGAAUUUUGGACAAUGGGCGCAAGCCUGAUCCAGCAAUGCCGCGUGCGGGAAGAAGGCCUUCGGGUUGUAAACCGCUUUUGGCAGGAACGAAACGGUGUCCGCUAAUACCGGGCGCUAAUGACGGUACCUGCAGAAUAAGCACCGGCUAACUACGUG